AUGCACGCUGGCGGCGUGCCUCAUCCAUGCAAGUCGAGCGAACAGACGAGGAGCUUGCUCCUCUGACGUUAGCGGCGGACGGGUGAGUAACACGUGGAUAACCUACCUAUAAGACUGGGAUAACUUCGGGAAACCGGAGCUAAUACCGGAUAAUAUAUUGAACCGCAUGGUUCAAUAGUGAAAGACGGUUUUGCUGUCACUUAUAGAUGGAUCCGCGCCGCAUUAGCUAGUUGGUAAGGUAACGGCUUACCAAGGCAACGAUGCGUAGCCGACCUGAGAGGGUGAUCGGCCACACUGGAACUGAGACACGGUCCAGACUCCUACGGGAGGCAGCAGUAGGGAAUCUUCCGCAAUGGGCGAAAGCCUGACGGAGCAACGCCGCGUGAGUGAUGAAGGUCCUCGGAUCGUAAAACUCUGUUAUUAGGGAAGAACAAAUGUGUAAGUAACUAUGCACGUCUUGACGGUACCUAAUCAGAAAGCCACGGCUAACUACGUG
rnacentral:rRNA from 1 species